UACCUUGGCUGAAUUAGUGAUCGGCUAAGGUAAAUUUAAUUAACUCACUAAAUUAUUGGAGUCUAACAAUGCUAAGCAUUCAAGAAAAAGCUGACAUCGUAGCUAAAUUCGCACGUUCUGAA
rfam:Pseudoalteromonas sp. OCN003 chromosome 1, complete sequence.